GAGGGCAUAGCUCAGUGGUAGAGUGUAUGCCUAGCAUCCACAGGGUCCUGGGUUCAAUACCCAGUACCACCA
rnacentral:tRNA from 1 species